CGAAUCUAGGAAGAAAAAGAUUUCACAAUGAAGCAGAUUUAAACACCUGUUGGUCAUCGUUCGACAAUUAGCAAAACCCAUACCAUAGAAUAGCUAUACAAUGCCCCAAAUGACAAAAUCUGAAACAAUUCAAAUGAAAUAAAACUAACGGCCUGAUACUUUCUAAAAAUUCACUGGAUACAGUUUCGCUUAGGUCCAAUACAGCUGGCCGAAGACCAAUAACAAGGCACAGAAAUUCUAACGUAAUAAAAGAAUUUAAUUAAAUGAUAACUAAAUUCGUUUAUUGAUUUAACAUAUAUGUGUACUGAGACUCGACAAAUCGAGUCGUCCUUAACUCUUAUUGUUAUGCUAAUUUGAGCUUGUGCGACUAGAGCUGUAAAAAUCAGUACUUUUUAACAGUCACUUGAACCAUGAAACCCAAAGAGAGGACGUGGAAAAAUUUAGACCCAACCUCUCCCACCCUAAUAAAUUGAACUUGAGUUGCUGCUGGUCUUUACUUUUCAGAUGUUCCAGUCUUCAUAUAAAUAUCCUUCAUGAUAGCAUGCUGAAGCAGUCGCUCAAUCGGAGCAAAAUUUACUUCAUUUUAUGCAGACUAUGGUUAGCCCAGCUGCUAAUUUCGAAAUAUUGUUAAAAGGAAC
rnacentral:lncRNA from 1 species